rnacentral:pre_miRNA from 1 species
GACGAGUCAGAAUAAUGUCAAAGUGCUUACAGUGCAGGUAGUGAUAUGUGCAUCUACUGCAGUGAAGGCACUUGUAGCAUUAUGGUGACAGCUGC